ACGAACGCUGGCGGCGUGCUUAACACAUGCAAGUCGAACGGAAAGGCCCUGCUUUUGUGGGGUGCUCGAGUGGCGAACGGGUGAGUAACACGUGAGUAACCUGCCCUUGACUUUGGGAUAACUUCAGGAAACUGGGGCUAAUACCGGAUAGGAGCUCCUGCUGCAUGGUGGGGGUUGGAAAGUUUCGGCGGUUGGGGAUGGACUCGCGGCUUAUCAGCUUGUUGGUGGGGUAGUGGCUUACCAAGGCUUUGACGGGUAGCCGGCCUGAGAGGGUGACCGGCCACAUUGGGACUGAGAGACGGCCCAGACGCAUACGGGAGGCAGCAGUGGGGAAUAUUGCACAAUGGGCGGAAGCCUGAUGCAGCAACGCCGCGUGCGGGAGGACGGCCUUCGGGUUGUAAACCGCUUUCGCCUGUGACGAAGCGUGAGUGACGGUAAUGGGUAAAGAAGCACCGGCUAACUACGUG
rnacentral:rRNA from 1 species